GCCCAUGGCCAUGUGGGAGCUAAUAGCUGGUUUUAAUGUGGAUUGCGUCACAUGGUCUGCCCUUCUCAGCAAAACAGGUGUGACACAUCAAUAGUGAUUACUGUGGUUAGAGGCCAGACUGAAGUGGCAGAAGAUCAAAAACUUCAGAGGAUUAAGAGAAUGAUAUUGAUGGAGCAACCCUCGAAAUUCUCUCUGAGAGGAUGUCAGAGAGAUUAAUCCCAUCAAUAAAAAAUCAAGCACAAUUCAUCAAGUAUCUCGAGCAGUUGAAGUCAUCAUCAUCAUCGCCAUCAUCAUCAUUGUCAACAAGAAGAAGAAAUUGGAACAGCUGGACCUGCUUCACUGGGUCAGUUUGCUUUCCUCAAAGCAUUAAAAGAUACACUU